CUGGCGGCGUGCUUAACACAUGCAAGUCGGAUGCGAACGGCGCUUUCGGGCGUUGAGUAGCAUGGCAGACGGGUGAGGAGCGCGUAUCUGACUGGACUCAGGCUGGGGGAUAGUCCCUCGAAAGGGGGUUGAAUACCGCAUGUGCUCGGUGCUGUGAGGGCAUCGAGGAAAGUUGGCCUCUGCGGGCACGCUGAUGGCCUGAGACAGGGAUGCGUCCUAUUAGCUAGCUGGUGGGGUAAGGGCCUACCAGGGCGACGAUGGGUAGCUGGUCUGAGAGGAUGAUCAGCCACACUGGGACUGCGACACGGCCCAGACUCCUACGGGAGGCAGCAGUGGGGAAUUUUGCGCAAUGGGCGCAAGCCUGACGCAGCAACGCCGCGUGCAUGACGACGCCUUUCGAGGUGUAAAGUGCUGUCGACCGGGACGAAGGGGCGAGGGUGAACAGCUUUCGCGCAUGACGGUACCGGUGGAGGAAGCCCCGGCUAACUCCGUGCCAGCAGCCGCGGUAAGACGGAGGGGGCGAGCGUUGUUCGGAAUUACUGGGCGUAAAGCGCGCGUAGGCGGUGCAGCAAGUGGUGCGUGAAAGCCCUCGGCUUAACCGGGGACGGGCGUGCCAAACUGUUGGACUGGAGUGCCGGAGGGGGAGGCGGAAUUCCUGGUGGAGCGGUGAAAUGCGUAGAGAUCAGGAAGAACGUCGGUGGCGAAGGCGGCCUCCUGGACGGACACUGACGCUGAGGUGCGACAGCGUGGGGAGCGAACGGGAUUAGAUACCCCGGUAGUCCACGCCGUAAACGAUGGGUACUAGGUGUGGGGCUUGUGAUGAGGCCCGUGCCGGAGCUAACGCACGUAAGUACCCCGCCUGGGGAGUACGGUCGCAAGGCUUGAAACUCAAAGGAAUUGACGGGGGCCCGCACAAGCGGUGGAGCAAGUGGUUUAAUUCGACGCAACGCGCAGAACCUUACCCAGGUUUGACAUGCACCGGCACAGCGAGGAGAAUCGCUGGCCCGUUUCGGGACGGUGCACAGGUGCUGCAUGGCUGUCGUCAGCUCGUUUCGUGAGAUGUUGGGUUAAGUCCCGCUAACUGAGCGCAACCCCUGCCCGUAGUUGCCAACAGGUGAUGCUGGGGACUGUACGGGACGAGUCAGGUGUGAAACCGGAGCAAGGUGAGGAUGACGACAAGUCCUGAUGGCCAUGACGCUUAGGCCGUAGACACUUAAUAGAGUUACUACUGGGCCACAAUUGGGCGACCACUCCGAGUAGGCGCGAAUACCUGAAACCGUGUCUCAGUUCGGAUUGGAGUCUGCAACUCGACUCCAUGAAGGUGGAAUCGCUAGUAAUCGCGGAUCAGCAUGCCGCGGUGAAUACGUUCCCGGGCAUUGUACACACCGCCCGUCACACCACGAAAGUUGAUGAUACCCGAAGUCGCCGGGCCAACCGCAAG
rnacentral:rRNA from 1 species